rnacentral:rRNA from 1 species
GAGCACGUAGGUGGGUUUGUAAGUCAGAUGUGAAAGCCUUCUGUUCAACGGAAGAAUUGCAUCUGAAACUGCGAGUCUUGAGUGUAGGAGGGGAGAAUGGAACUUCUGGUGGAGCGGUGAAAUGCGUAGAUAUCAGAAGGAACGCCGGCGGCGAAAGCGAUUCUCUGGCCUAUUACUGACACUCAGUGUGCGAAAGCUAGGGGAGCAAACGGGAUUGGAUACCCCGGUAGUCCUAGCCGUAAACGAUGGGCACUAAUUAGAGGGG